GUGCCAGCCGCCGCGGUAAGACGAACCGAGCGAACGUUGUUCGGAAUCACUGGGCUUAAAGGGCGCGUAGGCGGGCUGCCAAGUCUGUGGUGAAAUCCUCCAGCUUAACUGGAGAACGGCCGUGGUUACUGGCGGUCUCGAGGAAGGUAGGGGCAAGCGGAACUGUGCGUGGAGCGGUGAAAUGCGUUGAUAUGCACAGGAACUCCGGUGGCGAAGGCGGCUUGCUGGACCUUUUCUGACGCUGAGGCGCGAAAGCUAGGGGAGCGAACGGGAUUAGAAACCCGCGUAGUCC
rnacentral:rRNA from 1 species